rnacentral:rRNA from 2 species
AGAGUUUGAUCCUGGCUCAGAACGAACGCUGGYGGCGUGCCUAACACAUGCAAGUCGAACGGGAUGAGGGGCYUGCUCCUCAUUUAGUGGCGCACGGGUGAGUAACGCGUAGAUAAUCUGCCUGAUGAUCCGGGAUAACACUUYGAAAGGGGUGCUAAUACCGGAWAAGCCCMCGGGAUCUUCGGAUUCUGCGGGAAAAGGUGGCCUCUAUUUAUAAGCUACCGUAUCAGGAUGGGUCCSCGUACCAUUAGYUAGUUGGKGGGGUAAUGGCCUACCAAGGCAACGAUGGUUAGCGGGUSUGAGAGGAUGAUCCGCCACACUGGAASUGAGACACSGUCCAGACUCCUASGGGAGGCAGCAGUGGGGAAUUUUGCGCAAUGGGGGAAMCCCUGACGCAGCAACGCCGCGUGAGUGRUGAAGGCUUUCGGGUYGUAAAGCUCUGUCAGAGGRGAAGAAAURAAACGUGCWAAWAUCAMGUUUUSUYGWCGGUACCCUCAAAGGAAGCMCCGGMWAACUCCGUGCCAGCAGCCGCGGUAAUAC